AGUUAGCCGUUUUAAUGUAGGUGCUCUAAUACAAGGGCCUUAUUUCAGAUAGAGCGGCCCAGACGCUAGCUGCAGAGGGCCGCACCACAGGCACAGGCCUCCUGAGCACACCGAUUGUUAUUAAUUCUGGUUUCUUUAAAAGUUAUCUCAUUGAUUAAUAUGGUGGUGUCAGAGAGGCUAAUGGGAUCUCUUUAAUAUUUGAGCAUGGCCAUAGAUACACGCUAUCUAAUGCAGCACUUUGCUGGCCUCUCGGGCCGGCCUGCUGUGGCGUUUGUGUGUCGACGUGCAGCGGUUCGCAGCUUGAGCCUUGUCACAAAGACAUCCACAGCUCCCUCAGCUUCUUGUACACAGCAGCUACAGGAAGCCAAACAAUGUAGGAUAAGGAAUGACGGCUGAGGGCUGGAAGCACAACUGGCUUCAGAUGUCCAGCUCUUCGUCCCUGCUGGCUCUGGCACACCCCAAACACAGCCCGUGAAAACAGAGAGGUUAGAGUUACUCGCAAAGCGCUCUCCUGGGGAUCGAGAAAGUCCAUUUCUGUUUAUGCAAUGAAAUCAGGGAGCAAGGGUCUGCCGUAGUGCUUUGCUGAUGGGAUUCCGGUGGGGUUGUCUUUCAGCAAAAAGACCGAAUUUAAUAAACCUGCAGCCCGACUCACCCUUUCUCAUGUUGUGCUGCACAGCUCUAACGGAUUGCUGUUGAUAAUUUGGAAUUAUUUUGUUUAUGUAGUCUGAGAGCUUCUUUUUAAGCAGCUGACUGGAAAUUGAGAUGAAGGCAGUCUUAAUUUACUUUUAAUAAAAGAUCAAUGGGUUUAUUGUGGAAAAAAUAGAAUA